GGAGCUGUAUGUAGGAUUGUGGCCUAAACUGGUACUAGAAUCACUAUAAAAAUACUGCAGAGCGGUGUAUCCCCUCCCCCUCCCCCCUGACUCGAGGUUACCAGAUAAGCUGCAGGAUUCAGCAGAAACGUAGGCUGCUUCAUUGAGCUUCCAAUGGCAGGUGACGAACAGACGUACACACCUGAUUUAGAUCUCAGUUAUGAGGUGCCCGCUGUCCUAAGUGAGGCUGAUGAGAGCUGGGAAGGCGAGAGGAGGCGCAGACAAAGGAAAAGAAGAGCAAAGGGGAGAGGGACAAGAGUAGAGCGUGCAGGUCUUGGUCCAGGAGACACAGAGCAGAGAGAAGGAGUGAAUUUAGAGGGAUGAGAUGGACCAGGUGGAAGAGGCCAGAGAGCUGGAAGAGAGUGCAGAUGUUUCAGGUGGAAAAGGAGAGAGUGUGAGCCCUGCACCCGGUGACAGAGGCCAGAGAGGUGGAAGAGGCCAGAGAGGUGGAAGAGGUCAGAGAGGUGGAAGAGGAGAUAAUGCAGGUCCAAGUACUGGAGUUGGCAGCAGAGGAAGGAGAGGGAGAGGAGGCAGAGAUGCAGAGGAAGAGAACAGUGUUCAGAUGAUCCAAAUUGACCGAAGGGUCCGGACAGAGGUU